AGCAGCCGCGGUAAUUCCAGCUCCAAUAGCGUAUAUUAAAGUUGUUGCAGUUAAAAAAGCUCGUAGUUGAAUUUCGGGGUCAGUAGGUCGGUCAUGCCACUGGUAUGUACUGGUCUCACUGAUUCCUCCUUCCUGAUGAACCGUAAUGCCAUUAAUUUGGUGUUGCGGGGAGACUGGACUGUUACUUUGAAAAAAUUAGAGUGUUUAAAGCAGGCUAACGCUUGAAUACAUUAGCAUGGAAUAAUGAAAUAGGACGUUUGAUUCUAUUUUGUUGGUUUUCUAGGAUCGACGUAAUGAUUAAUAGGGAUAGUUGGGGGCAUUAGUAUUCAAUUGUCAGAGGUGAAAUUCUUGGAUUUAUUGAAGACUAACUACUGCGAAAGCAUUUGCCAAGGAUGUUUUCAUUAAUCAAGAACGAAAGUUAGGGGAUCGAAGACGAUCAGAUACCGUCGUAGUCUUAACCAUAAACUAUGCCGACUAGGGAUCGGAUGAUGUUAAUUUUUAAUGACUCAUUCGGCGCCUU
rnacentral:rRNA from 1 species